AUCCAGCUGAAGAAUCCCGAAAAGGACGAAACUGGCGUCAUGGAU
rfam:Schistosoma curassoni strain Dakar, Senegal genome assembly, scaffold: SCTD_scaffold0003155